rnacentral:rRNA from 1 species
UACAGAGGUCCCAAGCGUUGUUCGGAUUCAUUGGGCGUAAGGGGUGCGUAGGCGGCGCGGUAAGUCGGGUGUGAAAUCUCGGAGCUUAACUCCGAAACUGCAUUCGAUACUGCCGUGCUUGAGGACUGGAGGGGAGACUGGAAUUUACGGUGUAGCGGUGAAAUGCGUAGAUAUCGUAAGGAAGACCAGUGGCGAAGGCGGGUCUCUGGACAGUUCCUGACGCUGAGGCACGAAGGCCAGGGGAGCAAACGGG